rnacentral:piRNA from 1 species
UNGUGCUUUCAGCCUAUCUCUUUGCCUUUA